rnacentral:rRNA from 1 species
AUUGAACGCUGGCGGCAUGCUUUACACAUGCAAGUCGAACGGUAACAGGCCGCAAGGUGCUGACGAGUGGCGAACGGGUGAGUAAUGCAUCGGAACGUGCCCAGUCGUGGGGGAUAACUGCUCGAAAGAGCAGCUAAUACCGCAUACGAUCUAUGGAUGAAAGCGGGGGACCGUAAGGCCUCGCGCGAUUGGAGCGGCGGAUGUCAGAUUAGGUAGUUGGUGGGGUAAAGGCUCACCAAGCCAACGAUCUGUAGCUGGUCUGAGAGGACGACCAGCCACACUGGGACUGAGACACGGCCCAGACUCCUACGGGAGGCAGCAGUGGGGAAUUUUGGACUAUGGGGGCAACCCUGAUCCAGCAAUGCCGCGUGCAGGAAGAAGGCCUUCGGGUUGUAAACUGCUUUUGUACGGAACGAAACGGUCUGGGUUAAUACCCUGGGCUAAUGACGGUACCGUAAGAAUAAGCACCGGCUAACUACGUGCCAGCCGCCGCCGUAACAC